AAAAUGACUCUCGGCAACGGAUAUCUUGGCUCUCGCAUCGAUGAAGAACGCAGCGAAAUGCGAUACUUGGUGUGAAUUGCAGAAUCCCGUGAAUCAUCGAGUUUUUGAACGCAAGUUGCGCCCGAAGCCUAGGCCGAGGGCACGUCUGCCUGGGCGUCACG
rnacentral:rRNA from 1 species